AUUGAACGCUGGCGGAAUGCUUUACACAUGCAAGUCGAACGGUAGAGGGGGCAACCCCCUUGAGAGUGGCGAACGGGUGAGUAAUAUAUCGGAACGUGCCCAGUCGUGGGGAUAACGUAGCGAAAGUUACGCUAAUACCGCAUACGAUCUAAGGAUGAAAGCGGGGGACUCGCAAGAGCCUCGCGCGAUUGGAGCGGCCGAUAUCAGAUUAGGUAGUUGGUGGGGUAAAGGCUCACCAAGCCAACGAUCUGUAGCUGGUCUGAGAGGACGACCAGCCACACUGGAACUGAGACACGGUCCAGACUCCUACGGGAGGCAGCAGUGGGGGAAUUUUUGGACAAUGGACGCAAGUCUGAUCCAGCCAUUCCGCGUGCAGGAUGAAGGCCCUCGGGUUGUAAACUGCUUUGUACGGAACGAAAAGUUCUAUUAAUACUAGAGCGUCAUGACGGUACCGUAAG
rnacentral:rRNA from 1 species